AAGAACCUUACCAGGCCUUGACAUGCAGAGAACUUUCCAGAGAUGGAUUGGUGCCUUCGGGAACUCUGACACAGGUGCUGCAUGGCUGUCGUCAGUUCGUGUCGUGAGAUGUUCGGGUUAAGUCCCGUAACGAGCGCAACCCUUGUCCUUAGUUACCAGCACGUUAAGGUGGGCACUCUAAGGAGACUGCCGGUGACAAACCGGAGGAAGGUGGGGAUGACGUCAAGUCAUCAUGGCCCUUACGGCCUGGGCUACACACGUGCUACAAUGGUCGGUACAAAGGGUUGCCAAGCCGCGAGGUGGGAGCUAAUCCCAUAAAACCGAUCGUAGUCCGGAUCGCAGUCUGCAACUCGACUGCGUGAAGUCGGAAUCGCUAGCAAUCGUGAAUCAGAAUGUCACGGUGAAUACGUUCCCGGGCCUU
rnacentral:rRNA from 1 species